rnacentral:lncRNA from 1 species
GAGGAUCCACUGAACUGAGCCAAAUAGUUGGACUAAAGUUGGAUGUUAUAGUCAUGGUUAUAUGCUUAAAAAAUUAUUAAAUAUUAGCUAAGCACUGGAACAUGAUCAGCAUUAAUAGUUGAGUUCUUAAAUGAUUACUUGAAAAUCUUCAUUAAUGUUAUCUUUCCAAAUUUCACUGUCCAACGUGUUGAAAAUGGAAUCAUACAAUGUCAUGAAACAUUAAGCUAAUGUGUCUAUAUACAUCAUGUUUUGAUUU